rnacentral:rRNA from 1 species
GACGAACGCUGGCGGCGUGCUUAACACAUGCAAGUCGAACGGAAAGGCCCUGCUUUUGUGGGGUGCUCGAGUGGCGAACGGGUGAGUAACACGCGAGUAACCUGCCCUUGACUUUGGGAUAACUUCAGGAAACUGGGGCUAAUACCGGAUAGGAGCUCCUGCUGCAUGGGGGGGGUUGGAAAGUUUCGGCGGUUGGGGAUGGACUCGCGGCUUAUCAGCUUGUUGGUGGGGUAGUGGCUUACCACGGCUUUGACGGGUAGCCGGCCUGAGAGGGUGGCCGGCCACAUUGGGCCUGCGAUACGGCCCAGACUCCUACGGGAGGCAGCAGUGGGGAAUAUUGCACAAUGAGCGGAAGCGUGAUGCAGCAACGCCCCGUGCGGGAUGACGGCCUUCGGGUUGUAAACCGCUUUCGCCUGUGACGAAGCGUGAGUGACGGUAAUGGGUAAAGAAGCACCGGCUAACUACGUG